rnacentral:rRNA from 1 species
UACGGGGGGAGCAAGCGUUGUUCGGAUUUACUGGGCGUAAAGGGCGCGUAGGCCGCCAGCACAAGUCAGUUGUGAAAUCUCCGAGCUUAACUCGGAAAGGUCAACUGAUACUGUGCGGCUAGAGUGCGGAAGGGGCAACUGGAAUUCUUGGUGUAGCGGUGAAAUGCGUAGAUAUCAAGAGGAACACCUGCGGCGAAGGCGGGUUGCUGGGCCGACACUGACGCUGAGGCGCGAAAGCCAGGGGAGCGAACGGG